AGUUGGAUUCGCUAGUAAUCGCGCAUCAGCCAUGGCGCGGUGAAUACGUUCCCGGGCCUUGUACACACCGCCCGUCAAGCCAUGGGAGCCGGGGGGCGCCUGAAGUCCGGGACCGCGAGGACCGGCCUAGGGCGAAACUGGUAACUGGGGCUAAGUCGUAACAAGGUACC
rnacentral:rRNA from 1 species